GCGGGUGUAGCUCAAUGGUAGAGCCCCAGCCUUCCAAGCUGGCCAUGCCGGUUCGAUCCCGGUCACCCGCUCUA
rnacentral:tRNA from 1 species